AAAAACAGUUCACAAGUCUCGCGCUUUAUCAAAUGGGCGUCCAAGUUAUCACCGAACACAUCGUAAAAGCAGAGACAUUUGUAGAAUCCAUCGCGAUGGGUUACGAUAAUGAUACAAUUAGGAGUAUAGAGAGAGGCAUAACUGGAGAUGAGGAGACCAGAGGAAAGCAGGAUUCAACCACAGAGAGAGCCACCAACAACGCCAGCACACCAAUUUGCAUCUUCAUCUUCAUCAUCUUCCUCGACGAAACAAAUCAUACCUGAGAAAUGUAAACAACGAAAUCAAUCGCGAUUCAAUGAAAAAAAUCAGCUGAUUCGAAGAUGAGAGUGAAUUUGUGGAAUCCCAGAUUGCUCCUCAAAGAUUUGAUGGUUCAAACAAGUUUUGAAAUCCAACUAAAGGGCAGGCUCAUAUCUGGACGACUUAGGGAGAAGAUCGCAGGAACCAAGAAGACGUUCGCCCUAGAGAGAAACUCUCUCUGGCCCAGUUCCCUAGGUGCAGCUUUCAUGGCUUCUCCCUGCAAUUUCAGCUUGGUCCCUCAGUCUUCCACCCUUUGAAGCAGCUCACGACUGUCAUGGUUCCGUUGAUGUGUUCCUCUCCUCCGUCGCGGCUCCGUCUUCCGUCUUCUCCUUCCUCCUCCCGAUCCGCCGCCGUGUACGCCUCUUCAUUUUCCGCUGGAUGCUCCCUCUCCUCCAAAACCGCCAGAUCCACCUGACUCACCCUUCCAUCUCGUGUUCCUUCUGAUCUUCGACACAUCCUUAACCUUUUCUCAAACUAAUUCUAUAUCUCCAGAUCUAGAAUCUCUUUUGUUGAAAAUGGAUUUUGUGAUCAGGUGUUAGUGUUGUCUUUCUUAUGUCCGUUGGUGACAAAAGCUUUGCCUCCAAGCGUUUACUUUCUGCAGGUUUAUCUCAGAGAUUUCUCAAACUUAUGCUUCAGUGAUGUUUUGAUAUC